UCCGCUCAUAAAUGUAUAGAACGCAAGACAGUUCAGCAUUUCCCUAAGUGGUUUAGAAUGAUUAGAAGUACAAUCAACAAUAUGGUUUGUGUAGUUAUGCUGAAAAUCGUUGAGGUUGUAUGGAAUAGGUUAACCGUAAGACCUUAAGUUGAAAAACUUUAAAAUUAAUCUCAGGUAAAUUACUUUGAGUUACGGUGUU
rnacentral:sRNA from 12 species